UCGAAUGGAAUUAAAAGGGAAUCCCGGUGAAAAUCCGGAGCUGUACUCGCAGCUGUAAGUCCUAUUAAAGUUUAUCGCACUCUUUGCCACUGGUGAAAGCUGGGAAGGCGCGAUAAGCGGGAUGAGCCAGAAGACCUGCUUGAUGAGAUA
rnacentral:ncRNA from 1 species